CGUUGACAUUAAAACAUCGACGGAUUUACUGGAGGAUAUUAGAAACGGAGACAAAGCAGGGGUCUCGUUAAACUCAAGGCAGCGUCAGAGAGGGAGAUCCCUUUCCUCAGCCCGCGGUAGCAAUGAGCGGACUGUGCAAGCCUGUAGUUAUGGGACUCAUAUUGCUGAUCUGCAGUACUACCAGCCACUGUGAGGAGAGCGCGCCAGCCACGGCUCCCACGGUCGCGAGGAACGACAAGAGCCUACUCAGGCGGAUUGCAGACAUAGUGAAGCACGUGGAGGAGAGCCGCGGUGAGAACGGCACGAACGCAGCAUCACAGUCGACUUCUAGGAGAGAAUCCCCAGUUGAGACAAAAAGGGAUUUACGAAACCUCAAAACAGAUAGUGGCGAUCAAAUUAUUGGAAGCACGUAUACAGACUAUAUCACAACACCAGAGACUGCACAAUACCUGCAUGUAAGUUCCUCAACCUCUUCAUAUGACAAAGAAUACAUUUUCCCUGGAUUUAAAGCAGUGUUUAUAGGCACAUCACAUGUUAUGUAUAAGGGGAGGCAUAGUACUGUCUCCCAGGCAUUCAUUCAUCUCUCUAUUUCUUUUCUUUCCUUUUAA
rnacentral:lncRNA from 13 species